GAGUUUGAUCUUGGCUCAGAUUGAACGCUGGCGGCAUGCCUUACACAUGCAAGUCGAACGGCAGCACGGGAGCUUGCUCCUGGUGGCGAGUGGCGAACGGGUGAGUAAUGCAUCGGAACGUAUCCUGGAGUGGGGAUAACGUAGCGAAAGUUACGCUAAUACCGCAUAUUCUGUGAGCAGGAAAGCGGGGGACCUUCGGGCCUCGCGCUCUUGGAGCGGCCGAUGUCGGAUUAGCUAGUUGGUGAGGUAAAGGCUCACCAAGGCGACGAUCCGUAGCAGGUCUGAGAGGAUGAUCUGCCACACUGGAACUGAGACACGGUCCAGACUCCUACGGGAGGCAGCAGUGGGAAUUUUGGACAAUGGGGCAACCCUGAUCCAGCCAUGCCGCGUGAGUGAAGAAGGCCUCGGUUC
rnacentral:rRNA from 1 species